AGAGAAAAACCGCAAGAGAGAAAAGUAGUAGGAGUACUCGAAUGUCGACGAGCAUUGCGAAAAAACAACCGGUGGAAAGCAGGAUUUUUGCCGCGUUCCCUUGCGAAAUCCAUGUCUCAACGUCGUCGUUAUCGUACCCUGUCCCUUGACCGGCCGUAAACCAUCUUCCAUCAUUCGUCGUUCGCAUUGCCUCGUCGUUUCUUAAAUCUCAACUAUCCAUAUUCGUAUCCAUAUUCGGUGCUACGUGCGUAGUUUCCUAGGCGCCUGUUGCAAGUUUCAGCACCUAUGAAGCCAGUUUCCAUAGGUUUCAGAAAUUAUUCGCAGUCCAACGUCGGCGGACUAACUUACUGCAACGAGUAACUUGGAUGACAAGUGCAAUUAGGCUCCUGGAGUUUCACGAGCAGCCACCAGCACCGCUAUGAAUAACUUGUCAAUUAAUCGCGAUUAUUGACAAGUAAUGGCGAGAGCGGAGAACAAGCCUCAAAAGGACAAGUUUCACAAGCUGACGUUUACGUCACGCUACCGUUCCUUCUACGAAGAUGGACGUAAACUCGCUUGUUAAUUGACCGCGAAAGCAUUAAAACGUGAUUUCAGGUCAAUUUCGUGCGCGUAUACUGUAUACGCACGGACGAACGUUACGUGAAACGAAAGUAAGUGCGAUGAGCAUUACCCAAUCGUCCGUAGUCGCGAUUUCGUCGAUCGACCAAUGACGAAAGAGCGCAUACGCGUGUUCGCGUAUGCCCGGCUCUUUCAAAACGACUAUGAGCAAUAUUGUCAAUUCGAUCGCUGACCUUAAGCCUUAAGUGGUCAAGUUUUCAUUCCAGUUGGAUGUUAAUGUCGUUCAUUCGCCUUGCACGUUAUUUGAAAGUUGUUUAACACUCCUAAGAAGUGUUUGCAAGCUUCGGUAUCUUUCGGAAG